UCCUUCAAUUUUUAAUGAAAAUAAUUUUGAAUCUGGGUUAGUUAGUUCAUUGGUUAGAGAAUAGUUCUAAGAAGGCCAAAGCACAGGUUAAUCUUAGGCAGAUCAGUUAGCUCCACGGAGAGAAAAGCUGUUUCAGGAACCUAUGAGUCUCAGACCUUGUGUCCCUUCUCAGAGCCCCUUGAUUGCCUGCCACACUGAUGGCAGCAUCACCAGCCCCAAACUGCUGGCACUCUACCAAGAUCCCCAGGCAUGGUUUUCACAUCUCACAUACCAAGACUUAUUUGCACCAAGUCUCAUUUUCACUUCUGGAACUUGAAUGAAAUGAUACACCAUGAAGCUUGAACUUGCUUUCUGACAGCCUCUGAGCACCUGGUGAUGCCACUCAGAUGCAGUGGAAUGAUUUCUGCAUGGGGUAAAUCUUGACCAUUGGGCAGCAGGAGAUGGCCAGAGUGAAGAAGAAACAAUUUUCUCUUCCUUUCUGCCUUCAAUACAAUACACAGAGGCCUGGAUUUUUCUUGUAACAUUUCCAGAGGACAUCCUACCUGAGCAGUCUGCUGUUUUCUUUAUGGCUUGAAAGAUUUGCACACCUUGGUGAUGCAUCACAUCAUAUGACUUCUCAUUUUUUUGGUCUCAUCUCCUUUUUCCUCACCCUUAACACCCUGGACUUGCACCUUCCAAAAAGGUGGCAGCACCUUCAUCCUUCUUUGGGCUCUAUAGAGAUCCAGAAUGAAGAUGAUGAAUCACAGAUUUCACCCCAAACUCUGAACAACGAGUUCACAAAAUUAAGGCAGGGGAUCUACACAAGGGACAUAAAUUAGAAAAGUUGGACAGUUGAAGAAGCCCCUUAUAUUUUGUUUCAUCUUCCAUCUCUGACUUCCACUUGUAUAUUUUUGCUUCUUUCUGAAAUGAAUGCAUUUCAGAAGUUUCUAUAGUAAGAAGUUCUCAGGGUUUUGUUUUUUUUUUCUGGUCAGAAGAAUGUCUUCAUUUUUUUCUUUUUUCUUAAAAAAUAAUUUUUUGCUGGGUACAGUUCUAAGUUGACAGCUAUUUUCUGUUAGCAGUUUGAAGAUCUUGUUCUAUUGUCUUCUGGUUUACAUUCUUGCUGUUGGUUUGCCUCUCCUAAUGGACUUAUUG
rnacentral:lncRNA from 10 species